rnacentral:rRNA from 1 species
CCUGGUUGAUCACGCCGGUAGUCAUAUACUUGUCUCAAAGGUAAACCAUGCAUGUGUGUAAGUAUGAGCAAUUCAGACUGUAGAAACCGAAUAAACUCAUUAAAUCGAUUAUAAGUUUGUUUGAUGGUAGCAGCAUUAUAGGAUAACCACUUAAGUAGUGUUCUAGAGAAAUUUAUCGUGCAACAAACCCGACUUCUGGAGGGAUACAUUUAAGUGGAAAAUAAAAAAGUCGGCCAUGAACUCUGCCCGUUGCUCUGAUGAUUCAUGAUAGCUUCGACGGAUCAUGGCCUUAGUGCUGGCGGCGCAUCAUUUAAAUUUCACCCUAUAACUUUUCGAUGGUAGGAUAGUGGCUACUGUGGUGGUGUGGUGUGGGUGGGGAGAAUUGGAUUCCAUUCGGAGAGGGAGCCUGAAAGCGGCUACCACGUCAGAAGGCAGCAGCACGCCGUGCCCAAAUUACCCAAUCUGACGGGAAGUAGUGACAAUAAAUAACAAUACCGGCUCUUGAAUCGGUGGUGGAAUAAGUACAAUCUAAAUCCUUAGCGAGGAUCAUUGGAGGACAGAGUCUCAACGGUGCCAGCGGCAGCGGUAAUUCAGCUCAAUAGCGUAUAUUUAAGUUGUUGCAGUUAAAAAGCUGUAGUUGAACCUUGGGAUGGGUGGCCCGGUCCGCCUUGGGUGAACACUCUUAAAUCUUCUGUCGAUAAAUAUCUUUGGCCUUAACUGGUGGGUCGUGCCUCAGCUAUUACUUUGAAGAAAUUAGAGUGCUCAAAGCAAACCUACCCCUCAUAUCUUGUGUAGCAUGGGAUAACAUCAUAGGAUUCCGAUCUAUUGUGUUGGCCCCGGGAUCGGAGUAAUGAUUAGAGGGACAGUCGGGGGCAUUAUUUCAAAAGUGAGAGGAAUUAUGAAAUUCUUGGAUUUAUGAAAGGCGAACAACUAAAGAAACAUUUGCCAGGAUAUUUUCGUAAUCAAGAGCAGUUGGGGCUCGAGCGAUCAUUCUGCGUCUAAAAUCUCAACCAAAGCGAUGCCGACCGGGGAUCAGCGGAUGUUGCUUUUUAGGACUCAGCUGGCAUAUAUGAGAAAUCAAAGUUUUGGGUUCGAGGGAAAUAUGGUAUAAGGCUGAAACUUAAAGGAAUUGUGGAAAGGCACCACCGGGGAAGUGGAGCCUGCGGUAAUUGAUUGACUCAACACGGAAACUUACCAGGUCAGAACCUGUAAGGAUUGGCCCGGUUGAGAGCUCUUUCUUGAUUAAAUGGGUGGUGGUGCAUAGCGUUCUUGGUUGGUGGGCGAUUUAUGCAGUUGAAUUCCGUUAGCGAGCGAGACCCUCAGCGCUAACUAGCUUCACGAUGGAGGCAUCCCUUCGACCUUAGAAAGCUUAGAGGGACUAUGGCCGUUUAGGCCAAGAAGUUGAAAGGUAAUAACGGUGCAGUGAUGCCCUUAGAUGUUAUUCGCCGGCCUGUAUGCUGAUGUAUUCAGCGAGUUCACACCUUGGCCCGGCGGGCGGAUAAUCUUGAAAUUUCAGCCAUUGAUAAGGAUAGAUCAUUCAUUGUGUUGGUCUUCGAGGAAUUCCCUGAAAUGGCCUUGAGUCAUCAGCUCGCGUUAUUACGAUCCACGCCCUUUGUACACACCGCCCGUCGCUCCUGCGAUUGGAUGAUCCGGGGGAAGUGUUACGGUCCUAAGCGGCGAUUGGUUAUGUCUACCGACGUCGCGAAAAGUCCCAAACCUUAUCAUUUAGAGGAAGGAGAGUCGUAACAAAGGUUUCCGUGGGUGAACUGAAGGGAA